rnacentral:tRNA from 1 species
GGCUUUAUAGUCAUUUAUGAUAUUAGACUGCAAUUCUAAAGGAGUAUAAAGUAUAUACUAAGGCUU